AGUGAACGCUGGCGGUAGGCCUAACACAUGCAAGUCGAACGGCAGCACAGUAAGAGCUUGCUCUUACGGGUGGCGCGUGGCGGACGGGUGAGGAAUACAUCGGAAUCUACUUUUUCGUGGGGGCUAACGUAGGGAAACUUACGCUAAUACCGCAUACGACCUACGGGUGAAAGCAGGGGAUCUUCGGACCUUGCGCGAUUGAAUGAGCCGAUGUCGGAUUAGCUAGUUGGCGGGGUAAAGGCCCACCAAGGCGACGAUCCGUAGCUGGUCUGAGAGGAUGAUCAGCCACACUGGAACUGAGACACGGUCCAGACUCCUACGGGAGGCAGCAGUGGGGAAUAUUGGACAAUGGGCGCAAGCCUGAUCCAGCCAUACCGCGUGGGUGAAGAAGGCCUUCGGGUUGUAAAGCCCUUUUGUUGGGAAAGAAAAGCAGCAGGUUAAUACCCCGCUGUUCUGACGGUACCCAAAGAAUAAGCACCGGCUAACUUCGUG
rnacentral:rRNA from 1 species